rnacentral:rRNA from 1 species
UAGGGAAUCUUCCACAAUGGACGCAAGUCUGAUGGAGCAACGCCGCGUGAGUGAAGAAGGUCUUCGGAUCGUAAAGCUCUGUUGUUGGUGAAGAAGGAUAGAGGCAGUAACUGGUCUUUAUUUGACGGUAAUCAACCAGAAAGUCACGGCUAACUACGUGCCAGCAGCCGCGGUAAUACGUAGGUGGCAAGCGUUGUCCGGAUUUAUUGGGCGUAAAGCGAGCGCAGGCGGAAUGAUAAGUCUGAUGUGAAAGCCCACGGCUCAACCGUGGAACUGCAUCGGAAACUGUCAUUCUUGAGUGCAGAAGAGGAGAGUGGAACUCCAUGUGUAGCGGUGGAAUGCGUAGAUAUAUGGAAGAACACCAGUGGCGAAGGCGGCUCUCUGGUCUGCAACUGACGCUGAGGCUCGAAAGCAUGGGUAGCGAACAGGAUUAGAUACCCUGGUAGUCCAUGCCGUAAACGAUGAGCGCUAGGUGUUGGGGGCACUUUCCGGUCCUCA